GUUCCGGGAACCCUGUCUUCCUUCCGGUGGUGGCUGAGGGCUCGUGCUCGAGGCUGAGGGAUGCUGGUGACUCCCGGGGUCCCCAGCCCCGCCCCCAUCGGACGCCUCCACAGGCGGCGCACCCUUUCCGCCAUCCGCAGAGCAAGGCUGCCUCGGGGCGGCUCAGUCCGGCGCUUCUUACCUUACCUCCGUCUCAUCCUUAACUCACCACGAGCGUCCAGGGUCCACAUCCUCCUAAAUGGCCACUCGUCUUAAUCUCGGCGUCAGGACCCACGCGGGGUCAGGACUACCCCUCCGCUUCCAUGACUGUCUCCUCGCGGCUCCGGCUCCCACGGAGCGACCCCUCCGGGUUUUACUGACCCCGGGAUGUUGUAUCCUGGAAACUGCAGUUCCACCCAGGGGCUUGAUCUGGGUUAGUCUGGGGGCAAGUGAGCCGCCGAUUCUGUUUGGGUUUUUUUUUUUUUUUUUUUGAGACGGAGUUUCCCUCUUGUUGCCCGGGCUGGAGUGCAAUGGCGCGAAGUCGGCUCAACGCAACCUCCGCCUCCCAGGUUCAAGCGACUCUUCUGCCUCAGCCUCCCAAGUAGCUGGGACUACAGGCAUGCGCCACCACGCCAGGCUAAUUUUGUAUUUUUAGUAGAGACGGGGUUUCUCCAUGUUGGUCUGGCUGGUCUUGAACUCCCGAGCUCAGGUGAUCUGCCCGCCUCGGACUCCCAAAGUGCUGGGAUUACAGGCGUGAGCCACCAUUCCCGGGCGCUGUUUGGGUUUGUUUUUUUGUUUUUGUUUUUUACGUUCACAGCAUGGACGGUCAGUGUGAAGAUCCCAGCUGCUCGGGUCCUAGCUGGAAUUCUUCCAUUAAAAAAAUCUGUUUGUUAUGCAUGGGUUAGUUCACAGAGGAAUAGCUGGAUAAGUGCUGGCUUUUUCCCCGAUUUACCCAUUUUCAACCUAAUAAUGCAGGUUUUUGAAAUAAUGUGAAUGGUUACUGCUGGCGGAUGUUCACAGGGACACACCGGAUUCUACAGACACAUCUGAUGAUCUAGCCACGGCUGUCACUUUCCCCACUGCCGCGUUGUCCAUCACUAGGACUUUACUGCCAAUCCUUGCAAGAUAGUGGGGAACUAGAAUAACAGACAUGGGACAUUACCAGUUACAACCAAAGACAAGCUUGGCACAUUUGACUGUCCUCGUUCCUGCUCCUCCGUGCCUGGCCCUCUUCAGGCUUCUCAGCUCCUGGGGAGCGGCCAGCCAGGGAGCAUCAGCUGGUGGGAGCGAUGGGGUUGUGGGAUGGCACAAAAAAACACCAAGCGCCACUCAGAAAGGAAAUGCCGAAUGCAGACUCUCACUCAGUCGGUGUGGGGGCCAGGACCCUGUCUCUACCAAGUGUGCGGGAGCUGCCCCUGGCCGGGAGCUCCCAGACCCCACUGCAGAGCCCCCGCUAGACAGCAGGAGCACCCUGCUCUGUCAGCCUGCUUCCCCAGGACGGAGGCCCUGGUGGUAAGGCAGGCAGGUCUUGAGCCCCCACAAGACAGCAGGAUACAACAUAACCCUUUUUAAUCUGAAGUGUAGACUUCAUCCUCACGUUAGAAAACUCCAUCUUUUUUUU
rnacentral:lncRNA from 10 species